AGCGUACACGGUGGAUGCCCUGGCAGUCAGAGGCGAUGAAGGGCGUGCUAAUCUGCGAUAAGCGCCGGUAAGGUGAUAUGAACCGUUAUAACCGGCGAUACCCGAAUGGGGAAACCCAGUGUGACUCGUCACACUAUCAUUAACUGAAUCCAUAGGUUAAUGAGGCGAACCGGGGGAACUGAAACAUCUAAGUACCCCGAGGAAAAGAAAUCAACCGAGAUUCCCCCAGUAGCGGCGAGCGAACGGGGAGGAGCCCAGAGCCUGAAUCAGCAUGUGUGUUAGUGGAAGCGUCUGGAAAGGCGCGCGAUACAGGGUGACAGCCCCGUACACAAAAGCGCAUGUGCUGUGAGCUCGAUGAGUAGGGCGGGACACGUGGUAUCCUGUCUGAAUAUGGGGGGACCAUCCUCCAAGGCUAAAUACUCCUGACUGACCGAUAGUGAACCAGUACCGUGAGGGAAAGGCGAAAAGAACCCCGGCGAGGGGAGUGAAAAAGAACCUGAAACCGUGUACGUACAAGCAGUGGGAGCCCCACCACCAAAGCAUUCUCUGGUGUUGAAGGCCCUGCAAAGCAGCAUCGCGGUGGCGGAGCGUCGUUUGCGACGCCCAACACACAAAACAAGCGGUGAGUGCUUUGGGGUGGGGUGACUGCGUACCUUUUGUAUAAUGGGUCAGCGACUUAUAUUCUGUAGCAAGGUUAACCGUAUAGGGGAGCCGGAGGGAAACCGAGUCUUAACCGGGCGUUAAGUUGCAGGGUAUAGACCCGAAACCCGGUGAUCUAGCCAUGGGCAGGUUGAAGGUUGGGUAACACUAACUGGAGGACCGAACCGACUAAUGUUGAAAAAUUAGCGGAUGACCUGUGGCUGGGGGUGAAAGGCCAAUCAAACCGGGAGAUAGCUGGUUCUCCCCGAAAGCUAUUUAGGUAGCGCCUCGUGAAUUCAUCUCCGGGGGUAGAGCACUGUUUCGGCUAGGGGGCCAUCCCGGCUUACCAACCCGAUGCAAACUGCGAAUACCGGAGAAUGUUAUCACGGGAGACACACGGCGGGUGCUAACGUCCGUCGUGAAGAGGGAAACAACCCAGACCGCCAGCUAAGGUCCCAAAGUCAUGGUUAAGUGGGAAACGAUGUGGGAAGGCCCAGACAGCCAGGAUGUUGGCUUAGAAGCAGCCAUCAUUUAAAGAAAGCGUAAUAGCUCACUGGUCGAGUCGGCCUGCGCGGAAGAUGUAACGGGGCUAAACCAUGCACCGAAGCUGCGGCAGCGACGCUUAUGCGUUGUUGGGUAGGGGAGCGUUCUGUAAGCCUGUGAAGGUGGCCUGUGAGGGUUGCUGGAGGUAUCAGAAGUGCGAAUGCUGACAUAAGUAACGAUAAAGCGGGUGAAAAGCCCGCUCGCCGGAAGACCAAGGGUUCCUGUCCAACGUUAAUCGGGGCAGGGUGAGUCGACCCCUAAGGCGAGGCCGAAAGGCGUAGUCGAUGGGAAACGGGUUAAUAUUCCCGUACUUGGUGUUACUGCGAAGGGGGGACGGAGAAGGCUAUGUUGGCCGGGCGACGGUUGUCCCGGUUUAAGCGUGUAGGUGUGUGUUCCAGGUAAAUCCGGUUCACUUUAACACUGAGGCGUGACGACGAGGCACUACGGUGCUGAAGCAACAAAUGCCCUGCUUCCAGGAAAAGCCUCUAAGCAUCAGGUAACAUCAAAUCGUACCCCAAACCGACACAGGUGGUCAGGUAGAGAAUACCAAGGCGCUUGAGAGAACUCGGGUGAAGGAACUAGGCAAAAUGGUGCCGUAACUUCGGGAGAAGGCACGCUGACACGUAGGUGAAGUGAUUUACUCAUGGAGCUGAAGUCAGUCGAAGAUACCAGCUGGCUGCAACUGUUUAUUAAAAACACAGCACUGUGCAAACACGAAAGUGGACGUAUACGGUGUGACGCCUGCCCGGUGCCGGAAGGUUAAUUGAUGGGGUCAGCGCAAGCGAAGCUCCUGAUCGAAGCCCCGGUAAACGGCGGCCGUAACUAUAACGGUCCUAAGGUAGCGAAAUUCCUUGUCGGGUAAGUUCCGACCUGCACGAAUGGCGUAAUGAUGGCCAGGCUGUCUCCACCCGAGACUCAGUGAAAUUGAACUCGCUGUGAAGAUGCAGUGUACCCGCGGCAAGACGGAAAGACCCCGUGAACCUUUACUAUAGCUUGACACUGAACAUUGAGCCUUGAUGUGUAGGAUAGGUGGGAGGCUUUGAAGUGUGGACGCCAGUCUGCAUGGAGCCGACCUUGAAAUACCACCCUUUAAUGUUUGAUGUUCUAACGUGGACCCGUGAUCCGGGUUGCGGACAGUGUCUGGUGGGUAGUUUGACUGGGGCGGUCUCCUCCUAAAGAGUAACGGAGGAGCACGAAGGUUGGCUAAUCCUGGUCGGACAUCAGGAGGUUAGUGCAAUGGCAUAAGCCAGCUUGACUGCGAGCGUGACGGCGCGAGCAGGUGCGAAAGCAGGUCAUAGUGAUCCGGUGGUUCUGAAUGGAAGGGCCAUCGCUCAACGGAUAAAAGGUACUCCGGGGAUAACAGGCUGAUACCGCCCAAGAGUUCAUAUCGACGGCGGUGUUUGGCACCUCGAUGUCGGCUCAUCACAUCCUGGGGCUGAAGUAGGUCCCAAGGGUAUGGCUGUUCGCCAUUUAAAGUGGUACGCGAGCUGGGUUUAGAACGUCGUGAGACAGUUCGGUCCCUAUCUGCCGUGGGCGCUGGAGAACUGAGGGGGGCUGCUCCUAGUACGAGAGGACCGGAGUGGACGCAUCACUGGUGUUCGGGUUGUCAUGCCAAUGGCACUGCCCGGUAGCUAAAUGCGGAAGAGAUAAGUGCUGAAAGCAUCUAAGCACGAAACUUGCCCCGAGAUGAGUUCU
rnacentral:rRNA from 1 species